rnacentral:rRNA from 1 species
AUGAACGCUGGCGGCGUGCCUUAAGCAUGCAAGUCGAACGGAGCGGUUGUUCCCGCAAGGGAAUGAUCAAUUAGUGGCGGACGGGUGAGUAUGAGCAGGGAACGUACCCUAAACUACCUGGAUAGCUCGUCGAAAGACGGGGUAAUACAGUAUGUGAUCGCAAGAUCAAAGACGCAAGUCGGUUUAGGAGCGGCCCUGUGCCCAUCAGCUUGUUGGUAGGGUAACGGCCUACCAAGGCUACGACGGGUAGGGGGUGUGAGAGCACGACCCCCCACAAUGGCACUGAGACACGGGCCAUACACCUACGGGUGGCAGCAACUGGGAAUAUUCGGCAAUGGGCGAAAGCCUGACCGAGCGACGCCGCGUGAGGGAUGAAGUAUUUCGGUAUGUAAACCUCUUUUAUAUAGCCGUCGAGGCUAUAAGAAUAAGCACCUACAAACUACGU